CGGGACGGGUGAGUAAUGUCUGGGAAACUGCCUGAUGGAGGGGGAUAACUGCUGGAAACGGUAGCUAAUACCGCAUAACGUCGCAAGACCAAAGAGGGGGACCUUCGGGCCUCUUGCCAUCGGACGUGCCCAGAUGGGAUUAGCUAGUAGGUGGGGUAACGGCUCACCUAGGCGACGAUCCCUAGCUGGUCUGAGAGGAUGACCAGCCACACUGGAACUGAGACACGGUCCAG
rnacentral:rRNA from 1 species